GCCUUGUUAGCUCAAUGGUAGAGCAAUUGACUCUUAAUCAAGAGGUUGGAGGUUCGAAUCCUCUACAAGGCACCA
rnacentral:tRNA from 1 species